rnacentral:tRNA from 1 species
UGUUACUGCAAGGAGCCAACAGUGUUUUGAAAGCACUGAGAAGGGGUUCAAUUCCCCUAUUAACAA